AAUUAUGGACAAUGGGGGAAACCCUGAUUCAGCCAUCCCGCGUGUGCGAAGAAGGCCUUCGGGUAGUUAAGCACUUAUGGCCGGGAAGAAUAGGUUCGGGCCAAUAAUCGGAACUGCUGACGGUACCUGCAGAAUAAGCAGCGGCUAUCUACGUGCUAGCAGCCGUGGUAAUACGUAGGGUGCAAGCGUUAAUCGGAAUUACUGGGCGGAAAGCGGGCGGUGGCGGUUUUGCAAGAAGGAUGUGAAAUCCCGGGGCUUAACCUCGGAACUGAAUUAUCAACGGCCAGGCUAGAGUAUGUCAGAGGGGGGUAGAAUUCCACGUGUAGCAGUGAAAUGCGUAGAGAUGUGGAGGAAGACCGAUGGCGAAGGCAGCCCCCUGGGAUAAUACUGACGCUCAUGCACGAAAGCGUGGGGAGCAAACA
rnacentral:rRNA from 1 species